CACGCCGUAAACGAUGGGUACUAGACUUGGUGAAUUUGACCUUUGCUGAGUCGGAGCUAACGCAAUAAGUACCCCGCCUGGGGAGUACGGUCGCAAGAUUAAAACUCAAAGGAAUUGACGGGGGCCCGCACAAGCGGUGGAUCAUGUGGUUUAAUUCGAAGCAACGCGAAGAACCUUACCUGGAUUUGACAUCCUCUGACAGCUCUAGAGAUAGAGUCUUUGUAGCAAUACAACAGAGAGACAGGUGC
rnacentral:rRNA from 1 species